UCCCGAUUCCAUUGAUCAAUUGAAGUACUUCUAGCUCAAAUAAAGAGCUGAUUUUUUGUAUGUAGACCCUUGUAGACAUAUGGAGGGCCAUGGAAAAUAGUUUCACCCAAAGAAUCAGAAAUAAACUGAUUUUAUACCAAACUCUAGUUUUAGGGCAAAAUGAUCAGGAACUAAUUGCAUUGAAUGCCAAUGGAUCUUUCUGAGAUAAUUGUGAAUCUUCCUAGGCCAAGAUGCCUCUCUAAUCAUGACAUGGAUGAGAUCCUCUACUUCCAACCAAACAUUGCCUGUUGCAGGUAACCAUGAAACCCUAAUUUCUGAUUAAAUCCAGAUGAACACUCUGAUAGCUUUGAAUCCUUCACUGAUGAAAUGAGGACCAUAAUAAGAUACUUGGACCCCCC
rnacentral:lncRNA from 1 species